rnacentral:misc_RNA from 1 species
AACGCAUAUUGCGCCCUCUGGUAUUCCGGAGGGCAUGCCUGUCCGAGCAUCAUUACUAUCCUCAAGCACAGCUUGUUUGUUGAGCCCAAUUGUCCCUUGAUGUACAGGCUUGAAAUGCAGUGGCGAUGCCGAGUUUGAUGCCCAAGCGUAUGGAGCUUUGUCACACGCUUUGGUGGCCCAGCCGGCAUUCUGUCGAUUAAACCCUUAAAAACCUAAGAUUUGACCUCGGAUCAGGUAGGAAUACCCGCUGAACUUAA